rnacentral:rRNA from 1 species
AGUGAACGCUGGCGGUAGGCCUAACACAUGCAAGUCGAACGGCAGCACAGUAAGAGCUUGCUCUUACGGGUGGCGAGUGGCGGACGGGUGAGGAAUACAUCGGAAUCUACUUUUUCGUGGGGGAUAACGUAGGGAAACUUACGCUAAUAACGCAUACGACCUACGGGUGAAAGCAGGGGAUCUUCGGACCUUGCGCGAUUGAAUGAGCCGAUGUGGGAUUGGCUAGUUGGGGGGGUAAAGGCCCACCAAGGCGACGAUCCGAAGCUGGUGUGAGAGGAUGAUCAGCCACACUGGAACUGAGACACGGUCCAGACUCCUACGGGAGGCAGCAGUGGGGAAUAUUGGACAAUGGGCGCAAGCCUGAUCCAGCCAUACCGCGUGGGUGAAGAAGGCCUUCGGGCUGUAAAGCCCUUUUGUUGGGAAAGAAAAGCAGCAGGUUAAUACCCCGCUGUUCUGACGGUACCCAAAGAAUAAGCACCGGCUAACUUCGUG